rnacentral:tRNA from 1 species
GGGGCUGUAGCUCAGCUGGGAGAGCAUCGCACUUGCACUGCGGAGGUCGUCGGUUCGAUCCCGAUCAGCUCCAC